AAGGUAUAUAUAUAAAAAACGAUGAUUUAGUUGGACAAUCAACUAAUCAGUGUUUUCAUCAGUUCUAAGAGACUUGAAAAAAUAAUUUAUCUUCUUUAUCAAACUGUUUGAUUGUGAGAAAUCAAUUAAUCAAAGAUGAGGUCACCAACUAUUUUCAUUUGUUUAUCAACUUUGGUGAUCGUCUUACUGAUUGUUGCCCCAGAAUCUGGAUCAGCUGGUCGCCGGAAGAUGAUGAAACUCAAGGGACUCGCAGCAUUGGCACUUCUCAUGAAACCCAAGAAGAAAAUGAUCCCGAUUCCAAUUCCAAUCCCAAUUCCAUUUUCCUCCGAAAAACUAAUGAUGAAGAAACGAAACUCAAUGAUCUUCCAUGAACACGCCGUAGCCGUUUCAGCUCCACCCGCUAUGGUUCAACACCAUGCAAGCUACAUGAUGCCACAAAUUGUCGCUCAGCCCCAUGUUCACCCAGUAAUCUGUUCCAUGUCCUGAUGAUGCCACAAAUUAAUCGUUCUUAGCUCAUUGAAAAAGAAAUUGAAUCUCAUCUGAUUGAUUGAUAUUCAUAUUUCACGACUUGAUUAGGAUUCCUAGUAAAUAAUUCCCAAAACACUGAGUUUUCAUCUUCUAAAUUAAUCGACUCAGAUAAUAUCGUUAUCAUUUUCAUCACUUCAUAGAAAAAAAAACUUUUUAAUAACAAAUUAACUGAACAAUAAUUAAACUAAAUGAGUCAAUUAUUGUUUCCAUGUUAAUUUUCAUGGUAAUGUUAUGUAACCUAAAUGUGUUUAUUGCAAGAAAAUAUAAUAAAUUUCAUGAUAAUUUAUAUAUUAUUUAUAUAUUAAAA